ensembl:lncRNA
CGGCGGCAGAGCGGCUCAGUCUCGUCACCCCGUGCGGCUUUUGGUCUUGGGGUGCGUUCUCAGCACCUAGGCUGUGUCAGGCAUUGGUGUCCUUCUCUUACCGUUGCCCCAUCGCACGUUUUGCUUGUGGAGGGCGGUCGUGACUGCCCCGUGCCUGCUGCUGCCUGUCUGCUGAAGGCUUUGUCUUAAAGAGCCGCAGCUCCUCAUGAGGCAGGAUAUAAAUGCCAAAGACCAUACCACACCAUGUGUUUUGAAGAAGUCCCUGCUGAAAUCACAGGGCAGUUCUGCUUUCAAAGUGACUGCAAGUUGCCAUAGCAUGUGCCUGGAUUGCAACAUUUGCUGAUGGAUCUUGUAAAACUCUCUUUGGUACUUGUUUUAAUGAAGAGAGAAAGAGGGUCCCAACUGUCCCACCGUGACCCAUACAAGAGUGCUGGAAGAGCAGAGUAGGAUUGGUUGCUACAUCUGAAGCCUUUCUAGAAGAAAGCUUCCCAUAUGGUGAAAAGAUUGUCAGUAAAUAACAACAAUAGCUUGACUUCCAGUCCUGAGAAGACACUAUGAUGCAUGGUAGGCUGUUGUACACUGCUAAGCUUCACAAGGCUCAAGAAGACAGGAAUCCAGCCCUGCAAGCACCAGGUGCAGUGUCAAGGUCAAGCCCAGAGGCAUCACCUGCAGCUGUUCCAGACAUCCUGUUUCCUCCCUGUGAUGUGUGCAUGAUCUUGUGUGAUGGAAAUGUUAUAGCAAACAUCGCUGUACAUUUGCAAAACUGAGUUGUCAAGCUCACAUUUUCAAAGCACCAAUCCAUCCUAAUUUAGGCAUCAUGUAAGCAAGCUCAUUUUCAGAGGUACUGAGUACUUAACAUUGGUUGAGCUGAAUGGAUGUUCCAGAUGUCCUCUCUCCUCUCCUCUCCUCUCCUCUCCUCUCCUCUCCUCUCCUCUCCUCUCCUCUCCU